UGUGUACAGACAACAGAGAUCGUCGAGACGAUCUGUUGAAGUUCCUGAACGGAAAGAAACAGCUGUCAUCGGUUAACGCACUAGUGUUCGGCAUCCCGGUGUGGCGUGGAGCCGCUUUGCCUGCAUGUCCCAGUAAUAAACACGAAGUUACAACAACGUGAUCGCUUGUACAAGUCCCCUAUGAAGGUGUGGUGUCCCGGUACUGGACAUGGUCCUGUACCUUGUGUCAGACUGACCCGAAUAGAUAGGAACGGCGACUUCCCAUGUGUAGUCAAGCAGAAUCAAGUGUGUGAAUUUAUGUUUAUUCCUUUUUUUUGUUUAUAUAUGGUUUCUAUGAUAUCCUAAUUAGGUGCCUCUAACAUUUAAAUAUAUCAGAUGUAUGUGUGUGGAUAAUUAUGCAGUUGAGAAAGGCU